rnacentral:rRNA from 1 species
UACGGAGGGGACUAGCGUUGUUCGGAAUUACUGGGCGUAAAGCGCGCGUAGGCGGAUUUGUAAGUCAGGGGUGAAAUCCCGGGGCUCAACCUCGGAAGUGCACACGAUACUGUCGGACUUGAGUACUGGAGAGGAGAGCGGAAUUCCCGGUGUAGAGGUGAAAUUCGUAGAUAUCGGGAGGAACACCAGUGGCGAAGGCGGCUCUCUGGACAGAUACUGACACUGAGAUGCGAAAGCGUGGGAAGCAAACAGG